UAUUGGGUCCAUCUCUUAGGUCCGCCCUCCUUUCAUCCUGUUACCCCAGGCAGACACCCCUUCCCAGCCUCUAAUAACGUGACUGCUUGGCUAGGAGGGAUUGACUUACCCCCAGUGGGGUCCCUCAUUAAUGGCACACAUUUGACUAAGGUGCCAGGUAACACUACAUAUCACUCCACUAUCCUCCCACUGUGUGUUAAUUAUAAAAGUUCUAACCCUUACUGUGUACCUACCCAAACACAGGUAUGGCGACAUCAUGGCAGAGGAAAUGCCUUAACAUUCUUGGUUGCUGGUAGCCUCAAACCAGGCGAUGCCUCCAAUGCCACUUUCCCCAACGUUCCUCCCUGCGCUGAAGAACCAAGCUGGGAAGGAUGCAAAGUUGGAACAUGACUUAUAAUUGCUGCACCUGAGAAAGCUGUUGCUGCAUACAUCUGUGC
rnacentral:lncRNA from 1 species